CCGGCGCCCAGAGGGGAGGCGAAAAUCGUUGGGUUCCCUUGUCGCCGGGGCACGGUCCUUACCUGGCUGGGCCGGGGCGUAGACCAAUCCACCCUCAAGUCCGCUCAAGCACAGGAGAACGAAGGUUCAGUCGUCAUCCGAUCCCACGACCGACCCUGUAAAUCAUGUGGCUGUGCUUUUACCAGACGGCUAAACAUUAACCGGGAGCUGUCGCUACAAGCCAGCAUCAAACCCGGACUACACUGCACUAUUUCACCAUACCUGCACAAGAGGACCUACUAUCUGGAGAAGUGACCAUGUCUGUGUUGUGUGUUAGUUAUUAGUGUCUUAUUGUUUCGGGACUGAAACAAUGUUUUGCACGGAGCGAUACACAUUGCUGUGUAGCGCCCAUGAUUAUUAUUUAAGUGUUGUUGACACACAACCCAGCCAA